AUUGCUUCUCGGCCUUUUGGCUAAGAUCAAGUGUAAAGCAAAAAAUAGGUAGGAAGUAAAUAAUUUCAUUGAGUUUAAAAUGUUUAAUUAUGGGGCCAGAGUUGUGGUACAAAGGGUUAGGCCACUGCCUUCUGCACUGGCAUCCCAUAGGGGCACUAGCUUAUGUGCUGGCUGCUCCACUUCUGA
ensembl:snRNA U2 U2 spliceosomal RNA